UUCCAGCUCCAAUAGCGUAUAUUAAAGUUGUUGCAGUUAAAAAGCUCGUAGUUGAAUUUCGGGGUUAGUAGGCUGGUCAUGCCUCUGGUAUGUACUGGUCCCACUGAUUCCUCCUUCCUGAUGAACCGUAAUGCCAUUAAUUUGGUGUUGCGGGGAAUUUGGACUGUUACUUUGAAAAAAUUAGAGUGUUUAAAGCAAGCUAACGCUUGAAUACAUUAGCAUGGAAUAAUGAAACAGGACGUUCGAUCCUAUUUUGUUGGUUUCUAGGAUUGACGUAAUGAUUAAUAGGGACGGUUGGGGGCAUUAGUAUUCAAUUGUCAGAGGUGAAAUUCUUGGAUUUAUUGAAGACUAACUACUGCGAAAGCAUUUGCCAAGGAUGUUUUCAUUAAUCAAGAACGAAAGUUAGGGGAUCGAAGACGAUCAGAUACCGUCGUAGUCUUAACCAUAAACUAUGCCGACUAGGGAUCGG
rnacentral:rRNA from 1 species